CUGGUGAGUAACACGUGGGUGAUCUGCCCUGCACUCUGGGAUAAGCCUGGGAAACUGGGUCUAAUACCGGAUAGGACCAUGCUUUAGUGUGUGUGGUGGAAAGUUUUUUCGGUGUAGGAUGAGCCCGCGGCCUAUCAGCUUGUUGGUGGGGUAAUGGCCUACCAAGGCGGCGACGGGUAGCCGGACUGAGAGGUUGGUCGGCCACAUUGGGACUGAGACACGGUCCAG
rnacentral:rRNA from 1 species